rnacentral:lncRNA from 1 species
AUUAUGUGGCAUUUGCUUUUUAAAGAAUUCCUAUCCAUCAAGCAAGGAAUCCAUAGCUCGUAGUUCCGGUCUUAGGGAACUCAGGGUAUCAUGAGACAGAUGGACACUUAAAAACAUAUGCAUAUGACACCUUAUGUGACAACUCAUUUCUGGCUACAUUUUUUGGGGGGUACAUCAAGGAUAAUCCUACUCAGUGCACCUUGGGAAACUAGGAAAGGCUUAACAGGAUAGUGCAUUUGUGCCUUCUGGGACAAAUACCUGGCAACCACAACAGACAAAACAAAAUGUAAGAAAGGAGGAGGGGAUUUCAUACAAGUAGAGGCCAUAGCAUAUGCAAAAGUAUGUAGUUCUGAGAGUCUGUGAUGUGUCCAGAGAAGUUAAUGCGGC